rnacentral:rRNA from 1 species
UACGGAGGGGGCUAGCGUUGUUCGGAAUUACUGGGCGUAAAGCGCGCGUAGGCGGACCUGCAAGUCGGGGGUGAAAGCCCGAGGCUCAACCUCGGAACUGCCUUCGAUACUGCGGGUCUCGGAGUCCGGGAGAGGUGAGUGGAAUUCCUAGUGUAGAGGUGAAAUUCGUAGAUAUUAGGAAGAACACCAGUGGACGAAGGCGGC